rnacentral:rRNA from 1 species
GAUGAACGCUGGCGGCGUGCUUAACACAUGCAAGUCGAACGGAAAGGCCGAAGCUUGCUUCGGUACUCGAGUGGCGAACGGGUGAGUAACACGUGGGUGAUCUGCCCUGUACUUCGGGAUAAGCUUGGGAAACUGGGUCUAAUACCGGAUAUGACAAUCUCUUGGAUGGGGUUGUGGAAAGCUUUUGCGGUAUGGGAUGAGCUCGCGGCCUAUCAGCUUGUUGGUGGGGUAAUGGCCUACCAAGGCGUCGACGGGUAGCCGGCCUGAGAGGGUGUACGGCCACAUUGGGACUGAGAUACGGCCCAGACUCCUACGGGAGGCAGCAGUGGGGAAUAUUGCACAAUGGGCGCAAGCCUGAUGCAGCGACGCCGCGUGGGGGAUGACGGCCUUCGGGUUGUAAACUCCUUUCGCAACCGACGAAGCUUUUUGUGACGGUAGGUUGAGAAGAAGCACCGGCUAACUACGUG